rnacentral:rRNA from 1 species
UACGUAGGGGGCGAGCGUUGUCCGGAGUUAUCGGGCGUAAAGCGCGCGCAGGCGGCCUCGCGCGCCCGACGUGAAAGCCCCCGGCUUAACCGGGGAGGGUCGUUGGGGACGGCGGGGCUUGAGGGCGGGAGAGGGUGGUGGAAUUCCCGGUGUAGUGGUGAAAUGCGUAGAGAUCGGGAGGAACACCCGUGGCGAAGGCGGCCACCUGGGCCGACCCUGACGCUGAGGCGCGAAGGCGUGGGGAGCAAACAGG